GACGAACGUUGGCGGCGUGCUUAACACAUGCAAGUCGAACGGAAAGGCCCUGCUUUUGUGGGGUGCUCGAGUGGCGAACGGGUGAGUAACACGUGAGUAACCUGCCCUUGACUUUGGGAUAACUUCAGGAAACUGGGGCUAAUACCGGAUAGGAGCUCCUGCUGCAUGGUGGGGGUUGGAAAGUUUCGGCGGUUGGGGAUGGACUCGCGGCUUAUCAGCUUGUUGGUGGGGUAGUGGCUUACCAAGGCUUUGACGGGUAGCCGGCCUGAGAGGGUGACCGGCCACAUUGGGACUGAGAUACGGCCCAGACUCCUACGGGAGGCAGCAGUGGGGAAUAUUGCACAAUGGGCGGAAGCCUGAUGCAGCAACGCCGCGUGCGGGAUGACGGCCUUCGGGUUGUAAACCGCUUUCGCCUGUGACGAAGCGUGAGUGACGGUAAUGGGUAAAGAAGCACCGGCUAACUACGUGCCAGCAGCCGCGGUGAUACGUAGGGUGCGAGCGUUGUCCGGAUUUAUUGGGCGUAAAGGGCUCGUAGGUGGUUGAUCGCGUCGGAAGUGUAAUCUUGGGGCUUAACCCUGAGCGUGCUUUCGAUACGGGUUGACUUGAGGAAGGUAGGGGAGAAUGGAAUUCCUGGUGGAGCGGUGGAAUGCGCAGAUAUCAGGAGGAACACCAGUGGCGAAGGCGGUUCUCUGGGCCUUUCCUGACGCUGAGGAGCGAAAGCGUGGGGAGCGAACAGGCUAGAUACCCUGGUAGUCCACGCUGUAAACGGUGGGUACUAGGUGUGGGGUCCAUUCCACGGGUUCCGUGCCGUAGCUAACGCUUUAAGUACCCCGCCUGGGGGAGUACGGCCGCAAGGCUAAAACUCAAAGGAAUUGACGGGGCCCCGCACAAGCGGCGGAGCAUGCGGAUUAAUUCGAUGCAACGCGUAGAACCUUACCUGGGUUUGACAUGGAUCGGGAGUGCUCAGAGAUGGGUGUGCCUCUUUUGGGGUCGGUUCACAGGUGGUGCAUGGCUGUCGUCAGCUCGUGUCGUGAGAUGUUGGGUUAAGUCCCGCAACGAGCGCAACCCUUGUUCACUGUUGCCAGCACGUUAUGGUGGGGACUCAGUGGAGGCCGCCGGGGUCAACUCGGAGGAAGGUGGGGAUGACGUCAAGUCAUCAUGCCCCUUAUGUCCAGGGCUUCACGCAUGCUACAAUGGCUGGUACAGAGAGUGGCGAGCCUGUGAGGGUGAGCGAAUCUCGGAAAGCCGGUCUCAGUUCGGAUUGGGGUCUGCAACUCGACCUCAUGAAGUCGGAGUCGCUAGUAAUCGCAGAUCAGCAACGCUGCGGUGAAUACGUUCCCGGGGCUUGUACACACCGCCCGUCAAGUCAUGAAAGUUGGUAACACCCGAAGCCGGUGGCCUAACCGUUGUGGGGGAGCCGUCGAAGGUGGGACUGGUGAUUAGGACUAAGUC
rnacentral:rRNA from 1 species